rnacentral:rRNA from 1 species
CCUACGGGUGGCAGCAGUAGGGAAUUUUCGGCAAUGGGGGGAACCCUGACCGAGCAACGCCGCGUGAACGAAGAAGUUAUUCGUAAUGUAAAGUUCUUUUAACAGGGAAGAAAAAGACAUUUGACGGUACCUGAAGACUAAGCUCAGGCUAACUACGGGCCAGCAGCGGCGGUAAUACGUAGGGAGCGAGCGUUAUCCGGAAUUAUUUGGGGUAAGGGGUGCGUAGAUGGCAUAGUAAGUCUUUUGUAAAAAGGCUGGGCUAAACCCAGUAGGGCAAAAGAUACUGCAAAGCUAGAGUAUGACAGAGGCAAGUGGAACUACAGGUGUAGCGGUAAAAUGCGUAAAUAUAUGUAAGAACACCAGUGGCGAAGGCGGCUUGCUGGGUCGAUACUGACAUUGAGGCACGAAAGCGUGGGGAGCAAACAGGAUUAGAUACCCGUGUAGUC